GGUAGAUGACAUUACCCCCAGACUACAGGGAGGUGGCCAAGCAUCCAUAGAACUCCCACGUCAGGACUGACUCAGUCAUUCUGACACAGGAAGUUGGGUGGAACUCGCCCUCUUUACAAGACCCUUGACUCUCCCAACCCAAACCCAAGGUCAAAUAUUAACUAUGUGGCCUUGAAGAGAGGGGAGGGACCAGGAGCUGGCCAGAGGAAGAACAGGAAUUUGGAGCGUUUAUUUAAGAGCUCGAGGACAAGCUCUCCUAUCCCGCCUGACAUCAGGAGACGUGACCCAGAUCCCGAGAACACUGUUCGCCAAGCGGCCCCCGCCCUGCACCGAUCCCCGACUCCACGUUCGCAGCUCACCUUGGACAUCUUUCUCACUCCAGACCUCUCAGUGAACUCCUAGGCAGUGCAAUAGCCUGUCCUUCCCAAGCUCAGUCACCUUCCUCAGCAGCAAUCUAGGAGGCCCUCUCAGAAUCAACUCCCCAACUCCUUUACUUCAACUAGGAUGGUCCUCCCACACCAUCUUGGGCCCUUCAGUUUCCCCUCAAUUGAGGCCGUGCCUUCUUCCCAGCAUUAAAGGCCUUUCUAGGGU